GGCAGCACGGACUUCGGUCUGGUGGCGAGUGGCGAACGGGUGAGUAAUGUAUCGGAACGUGCCCAGUAGCGGGGGAUAACUACGCGAAAGCGUAGCUAAUACCGCAUACGCCCUACGGGGGAAAGCAGGGGAUCGCAAGACCUUGCACUAUUGGAGCGGCCGAUAUCGGAUUAGCUAGUUGGUGGGGUAACGGCUCACCAAGGCGACGAUCCGUAGCUGGUUUGAGAGGACGACCAGCCACACUGGGACUGAGACACGGCCCAGACUCCUACGGGAGGCAGCAGUGGGGAAUUUUGGACAAUGGGGGAAACCCUGAUCCAGCCAUCCCGCGUGUGCGAUGAAGGCCUUCGGGUUGUAAAGCACUUUUGGCAGGAAAGAAACGUCGCGGGUUAAUACCCCGCGGAACUGACGGUACCUGCAGAAUAAGCACCGGCUAACUACGUGCCAGACCCGGGGGGUAAUA
rnacentral:rRNA from 1 species